rnacentral:tRNA from 6 species
GGGGAUGUAGCUCAGUGGUAGAGCGGGAGACUGAAAAUCUCCGCGUCGGUGGUUCGACCCCACCCUUCCCCA